AUUUUAACAUCACUCAGAACGUAAUUGCUUCCUUAGAAUACCAAAAGCAACUAUAUGCAGACAUCAGUGCCACAAUACUUCGACUAAACAAGAUCUUGGCCUGUCUUACCUGGUAAACACAUUUUUCAGCACAUUGUACAGUGCAGUAACCAAGUCCUACCUUCUACUGCAGUGUGUGAGCUACAUCCUUGAGACCAGCAUCACACAAAGCACACAAAUGGAGGAGCACAACUAUCUUGCAAAGAAAUGCAGCCGCAAAAAAAAAAAAAAAUUUGGAUCUCAAUUUCACACUAGCUGUUCAAAACUUACGUCACACAAUACCCCCACUGUUUCUCUCCACUAGCAGGCACCCUACAUGUCAAAUACAUAACGGCCUAAAUCAAACUUUAGAUUAAGGAAAAGAAAUUGAAGACAAAGGAUGUCUGACCAUUUGAUUUAUUGAAUCAUUUGAGAGAACAAGGACAAAACAAAUGAGCAGGAGUCACUUUACAGUCGCCCCAUACACAGCCUAUAUUAACAUUAGGAGGCAAUCUUUUUCAAAGCCACAUGGAAGACAUAACCCACCUAAUUCUACUGUCCUCGGUCCUCAAUUUCGUGGGAAAGAUUUCCUAUCAGAUUCUGAAAAAUCCACAAAUUUAAGUGCGAAUGGGUCUUUUUCAUAAUGCAUAUAACUGGGUGGUUUAUAGUAUUGGGGUGGCUCUUUGGGAGGCUGGUUGGCAGAAGGUUUGCAUUCAGCUGCUGCAGUUGUAGUACAGGGUUGAGGAGUGGUGGUUAUAGGUGGUGCGGUAGGGGUUUUCUGAGGUUGCACUGGGUAUUGUGGAUAAAAUUGCUGCAAAUAAUCUGGGAAAUUUGGGUAAUGGCUAUGCUGAGGGAAUAGACUUCCAGGGUACACUGGGGGUUGCGGUUUCUGGUUUAUUGCUGGCGAAUCUGGUGGGAGAGGAGUGGGGAUGGCUGGAGCUGGUUUCACAGUAGUAUUUGGUUUGCCAUGAUAGUCACUGUAGUAAUAUGGCCACAUAUGGGGUUGCCUUGGAAACUGAGGUUUCUGGGUUGGCACUUGGCCAUCUGAUGGAGAUUGCCCUGCUGGCUUAGCUGUGGGAUAUGGCCACAUCAUAUGGGGGUACUUCGGAAACUGAGGUUUCUGGAUUGGCACUUGGCCAUCUGAUGGAGAUUGCCCUGCUGGCUUAGCUGUGGGAUAUGGCCACAUCAUAGGGGGGUGCUUCGGAAAUUGAGGUUUCUGGGUUGGCACUUGGCCAUCUGAUGGAGAUUGCCCUGCUGGCUUAGCUGUGGGAUAUGGCCACAUCAUCUGGGGGUACUUCGGAAACUGAGGUUUCUGGGUUGGCACUUGACCAUCUGAUGGAGAUUGCCCUGCUGGCUCAGCUGUGGGAUAACCCUUGCCAGGAUAACGGGAGUAGGGAUAUGGCCACAUCAUAUGGGGGUACUUCGGAAACUGAGGCUUCUGGGUUGGCACUUGGCCAUCUGCUGGAGAUUGCCCUGCUGGCUUAUCUGUGGGAUAACCCUUGCCAGGAUAAUGGGAAUAUGGAUAUGGCCACAUCAUCUGGGGGUGCUUUGGAAACUGAGGUUUCUGGGUUGGCACUUGGCCAUCUGCUGGAGAUUGCCCUGCUGGCUUAGCUGUGGGAUAACCCUUGCCAGGAUAAUGGGAGUAGGGAUAUGGCCACAUCAUAGGGGGGUGCUUUGGAAACUGAGGUUUCUGGGUUGGCACUUGGGCAUCUGAUGGAGAUUGCCCUGCUGGCUCAGCUGUGGGAUAACCCUUGCCAGAAUAUUGGUAACGAGGGUAGUUGUAAGGCCAAAACCCUUGCUGAAACUCUUCAGGGUAGCCGUAAAAUGGCGGUUUGAGAGCUGCAGAUAGUUCUGGCAUUGUACUUAUUUGUAGAUUAAAUUCAUCAGGAUAAAGGGGAGGCAGCAGAAUCUGCUGAUAUGAAGGAUCAUGAGGUCCUAGAAAAGUGUCGUUUGCAGUUGUAGAGGUCAUAGGACAAGAAAUGACUGCACGGUUUCCCUGCCAUUGCAUCUGCAUCACAUAACUCCCUCCCUGAAAGACAUGAACAUUCAGGUUGGUCUUCCUAACUCUGUGUACAUACUAAAUGGAACAGAGAAAGUAAUACCUGUUGUGCAACGCCACAUCCAUCAUAGGGGGUAGCAUAGAUAAGACCACCAUAAGUGGGUAUGGUAGAUCCACAGUUAGGCGGCAACUCACUGAGGGGAACAGCUGCCCCAUUACCUGUGACAAAAAACAUCCCACAUUGCAUUGAUGC
ensembl:lncRNA